GUUAAGCGACUAAGCGUACACGGUGGAUGCCCUGGCAGUCAGAGGCGAUGAAGGGCGUGCUAAUCUGCGAUAAGCGCCGGUAAGGUGAUAUGAACCGUUAUAACCGGCGAUACCCGAAUGGGGAAACCCAGUGUGAUUCGUCACACUAUCAUUAACUGAAUCCAUAGGUUAAUGAGGCGAACCGGGGGAACUGAAACAUCUAAGUACCCCGAGGAAAAGAAAUCAACCGAGAUUCCCCCAGUAGCGGCGAGCGAACGGGGAGGAGCCCAGAGCCUGAAUCAGCAUGUGUGUUAGUGGAAGCGUCUGGAAAGGCGCGCGAUACAGGGUGACAGCCCCGUACACAAAAGCGCAUGUGCUGUGAGCUCGAUGAGUAGGGCGGGACACGUGGUAUCCU
rnacentral:rRNA from 1 species